AUGGAUCAAGCAAAGAAAGGGUUCUUGCCUGUGUUACAAGGUGUGAAGUUGAGUAAGACUCAAUGCCCGACCACUGCAGAAGAUAGAGAGAAGAUGAAAGAUGCUCCCUAUGCUUCAGCCAUAGGCUCUAUCAUGUAUGCAAUGCUGUGUACCAGACCUGAUGUGUGCCUUGCUAUAAGUCUAGCAGGGAGGUACGAAAGUAAUCCAGGAGUGGAUCACUGGACAGCGGUCAAGAACAUCCUAAAAUACCUGAAAAGGACUAAGGAUAUGUUUCUCGUUUAUGGAGGUGACAAAGAGCUCAUCGUAAAUGGUUACGUUGAUGCAAGCUUGGACACUGAUCCGGACGAUUCUAAAUCGCAAACCGGAUACGUGUUUACAUUGAACGGUGGAGCUGUUAGUUGGUGCAGUUCUAAACAAAGCGUCGUGACGGGAUCUACGUGUGAGGCCGAAUACAUAGCUACUUCGGAAGCAGCAAAUGAAGGAGUCUGGAUGAAGGAGUUCAUAUCCGAUCUAGGUGUCAUACCUAGUGCAUCGGGUCCAAUGAAAAUCUUUUGUGACAAUACUGGUGCAAUUGCCUUGGCGAAGGAAUCAGAUUUCACAAGAGAACCAAGCACACCAAGAGACGCUUCAAUUCCAUCCGGGAUUUAG
rnacentral:rRNA from 1 species